rnacentral:rRNA from 1 species
GAUGAACGCUGGCGGCGUGCCUAAUACAUGCAAGUAGAACGCUGAAGGAGGAGCUUGCUCUUCUGGAUGAGUUGCGAACGGGUGAGUAACGCGUAGGUAACCUGCCUGGUAGCGGGGGAUAACUAUUGGAAACGAUAGCUAAUACCGCAUGACAACAGUUAUUGCAUGAUAACUGUUUAAAAGGGGCAACUGCUCCACUACCAGAUGGACCUGCGUUGUAUUAGCUAGUUGGUGAGGUAACGGCUCACCAAGGCGACGAUACAUAGCCGACCUGAGAGGGUGAUCGGCCACACUGGGACGGAGACACGGCCCAGACUCCUACGGGAGGCAGCAGUAGGGAAUCUUAGGAAAUGGACGGAAGUCUGACCGAGCAACGCCGCGUGAGUGAAGAAGGUUUUCGGAUCGUAAAGCUCUGUUGUAAGAGAAGAACGAGUGUGAGAGUGGAAAGUUCACACUGUGACGGUAUCUUACCAGAAAGGGACGGCUAACUACGUG